CCAGAUGAAGAGAGAGUGAAGAUCAUUUGUCAUAAUGUCAACCUAUAAACGUCUUGAAGAGAUUCCAUUGAUAUAAAGCAUAAAUAUAUCCUUGCUGGGAAAAAUAGGAGCAGUGUUUUCUGGUUAUAAGGAGUGUUUGUUGGAGCUACAGGAGUGUGGAAGCAAUUUCAGAAGCAUCAUUGCCAGGAGGCUCUUGCAGAGAGAACUCAGCUGCUAUGGGAAAUGGGUUAAGCCUUCACAGGACAUACAUGCUAAAGUACCAGAGUGGAAUGUUGUCCUGGUGUUUGAUGGGAUGCUCAGGGUAGUGGGCAGGCCAAGAAAGGCCAAGUAG
rnacentral:lncRNA from 1 species